UCAUAGUAUAUACUUCACUCAUGUGCACUUUAAGUGAAUCAAAUGAGAGUACUCAUGAUAAGGUUGAAACUCAAAACGGCGUUUGUAAUGUUGAAUGUUCUUUUGUUCAUUGUUUCAAAAUUCUUGAUCCAAUGUGCAUGACAAUAAAUUACAAACGCGAGUUUGAGUUUCAACCUUAUCAAUGGGGAGGAGAUUAUAAGGUGAGAAAUCAAAUCCUCACCAACAAAAUGAAAAUUCAGGUUCAUUGACCCAACAUAGGUCCGCCCCUGCCUGCCUGCAAUGGGAUAUUUAUUGUGCAACAAAGUGAACAUCCAUCUUUUCUUAUUUAUUUUGCGAAGAAAAAGUAGUUGGUGGAAGGACACACUUUUCUAGCCGAGGAACUUCUUUUAACUUGUUAGUGUAUAUAUUACAUUUAGACAGGGUGGAGCUACCCUAUAGCAAGGGGUGUUGACCGACACCCCUUCGUCGGAAAAUUACAUACUAAGGUCAAAAUUUGAUUUAAUGAAUAUAUAUAAGUGUUGACACAUUUUGACAUAAGUUAAA